GACGAACGCUGGCGGCGUGCCUAAUACAUGCAAGUAGGACGCAGUUGCGCACGGGGGCGUAACGCGUAGGUAACUACCUAUUAGAGGGGGAUAACUAUUGGAGACGAUAGCUAAUACCGCAUACUAGUCGAUGGACCUGCGUUGUAUUAGCUAGUAGGUAGGGUAAUGGCCUACCUAGGCAGCGAUACAUAGCCGAGCUGACGGGGUGAUCGGCAAAACGGUGACUUGUGUACGGCCCAGACUCCUACGGGAUGGAGAGGUAGGGAAGCUGCGUAAAUGGGGGGAGACCUGACCGAGCAAUGCCGCGUGAGGGAAGAAGGUUUUCGGAUCGUAAAGGUCGGUUGUUAAGGAAGCGGUACUUAACCAGAAAGGGACGGCUAACUACGUGCCAGCAGCCGCGGUAAUUC
rnacentral:rRNA from 1 species